UUUUUUUUUUUUUUUUUUUUUUUUUUUUUUGUCUUUCUGCCAUUGCUUGGGCCGCUCCCUCGGCAUAUGGAGUUCCCAGGCCAGAGACUGAAUCUGAGCCAGAACUGCAACCUCCACCACAACACCAGAUCCUUAAUUCACUGCCCCAUGCCAGGGACUGAACCCUCGUCCCUGCCACUCCAGAGACACUGUCAAUCCCGUUGUGCCACGGCAGGAACUCCUGCAAAUAACUUUUUGACAAGAUUUAAGCAAAGCUGAGUCACAGAUAUUGGACUGAGGAGUUGGAUUUUCUGUACCCACACCAAGAAAAGGGACUGAAGCCCAGAAUAACGGAUUAGGAAAUGCUUAGCUUUAUAUAUGAAGAAAAUGAAAAGCAAUGCUAAUGUUUCUCCUUUUCUUCAACCGUAAGUAUUCACAGUGAAACUGUUUGUUAUGUAGGGUGACUUUUUGAGGGUACUAGGUUAGACUUAAGGUAAAAAAAAAAAAAAAGCUAUAAUGCAAAAAAAAUUGUGUUUUCAGUGCUGUAACUUACACCCAAUAUGCUGUCAGACUUUCAAACUAAACUCUUUUUCUUAGCUUAAAUAGUGUUAUUGCCUAAUAUCAGAAAUGACCCAGCCUAAUAUCUGUGGGGUUUUUUUUUGACCAUGCCCAUGGCAAGUGGAAAUUCCUGGCCAGGAAUCUAACCCACGCCACAGCGGCGACAGCGCUGGAUCCUUAUUGUACCAUGAGCAAAUUCCUAACAUUUGUCUUUAAAAGGCCGUAAUUUUGAGCUGGAAUUACGUAUUCCUGAGAUGAAAUUUGUAUUCAUCUCUGCAUGCCCAGAAAUGCAAGAUGACUCUGGGAGAUGAAGAUGAAACAAAGGUCCCUUGCCAUCUCACAAGAAAACAGUUCCAAAACACCUACAUCAAAACGAUGGUCCCCUGAAGCAGCUUCUAGCUUCAGGCCCUGACACAUCACUUCUUUACCUGGAAUACUUUCUACCAUGCUUCCUCGCACUUAAUCCUACUCCCUUUCUCAACCGUGGUUCAGAAGUUCCUGUCAUGUUUCAGCAAUUAGUGAACCUGACUAGUAUCCAUGAGGAUGUGGGUUUGAUCCCUGGUCUUGCUGCGGGUGAAGGCUCCAGCGUUGCCGUGACCUGUGCUGUAGGUCACAGAUGCAGCUCAGAUCUGGCAUUGCCAUGAGCUGUGGCAUAGGCCGGCGGCUAUAGCUCUGAUUAGACCCCCUAGCCUGGGAAUCUCCAUAUGCUGCGGGUGCAGCCCUAGGAAAGUCAAAUAAAUAAAUAAAUUGUGUCUCAGCUUCCUCUGGGGAAAUUUCUAAUGCCAGAGACUAGAUCAGGUCCCCUGGUAUUCAUGUUUAUGGAACCCUGUAACUUCCCAUCAUAUCUCGUGCCAUAGUUGACAACCACAUAUAUUUGUGUGACUGUUGAAACUCCAUCUUUCCUGCUACACUGUUAGCAUCACAGGUGAAACUCUCACAUGGUCUCCUGGUGUGUCUCCAGGGCCUGGCACGGCAUCUGGCCCCACAGGGGAUUGAUAUGCAUGUGUGGAAUCCAUGAACAAACAAUACUUUUCCUAAUGUCUUAACCAAGUUCUACAUGACAUCUUAUCUUUACCACAGCCAUGAUUUUCCUCCUAUUGGGUUCAUCUUAAUAAUUUUUUAAAUUUAUUAACAUCUUUUGGAGAUUCACUCAGUAAAAGCUGAUUUAUACAGUAAAGCUGGGGUCUACACCAAGUGGUCUAAUAUUGUACAAUAAAGAUGGGUCAGACUUAGCCAGUUUACUUAGUUACUGGUGGUAUAGUUUUUUCUGCAUAAAAAUUACUUUUUCCAAUAUAACACCUAAAAGCCUGAUAUAAAUGGCCUGAAAUCACUUUACAAAGAGCUAUAACCACACUUUACCAUUAGUAAUAGGCCAAUCUGAGUGGUUAUAAAUUGCAUAGAAACCUAAGAAUUUCUUUACAGGUUACAAAGUCCCUGCAUUUGUUAGUCCAAGU
rnacentral:lncRNA from 1 species